rnacentral:rRNA from 1 species
UAAACUAGGAUUAGAUACCCUAUUAUUUUUAAGUGUUAAUUUUAUUUCCUAGGUAGUAUUAGCUAUGUUCUUGAAACCUAAAGAAUUUGGCGGUACUUUAUUCCGAUUAGAGGAAUCUGCCCUGUUAUCGAUAAUCCGCGUUGUACCUUACUUAGUUUGUUUGUUUGUAUACCGCCGUAUAUUGAUUAUCAUUUUAGUGUUUGAAAUUUUCUUGAUUCAUAAUUUUGCUUUAUUUCAGGUCAAGGUGCAGCUUUUAUCUAAGUGUGAGGUGGAUUACAUUGGUUUUUUGUUAUUGGAUUAUUUGUUGUUAAAUUUGUAUGAAAUUGGAUUUGAUUGUAAUGUUUGGAUGAAGAUUGUUCUCAUGAUAAUUGGUUCUAAGGUAUGUACACAUCGCCCGUCGCUCUCAUUUUUUUAAUGAGAUAAGUCGUAACAUAGUA